UCUUCUGUGUCGCUCGCGCUGGGAGUUGGAGACUGGAGCUGUUCCUAUUCGGCCAUCUUCGGUAUCAUUAUUUCAUCUUGUUUAGCAGAGUUUCACUAAUUUGAGUUUUCUGUAGAUUAUUACUCUAUCAUUUCCUCCAUUGUUGGGCUCUUCCUUUCUUUGCUUUUUUUUCCCUUCUACUUCUGUUCAUUUCACAAUUUCUUGGCUAAUGAGGAAGCAAAAUCCUAGUUGUCUGGAAUACAGGCUCAUUUCUCUGUUUCUAGAGAGAACCACUUUGUCUUCAAGUAGAGAGUGGAUUAGAGGUAGAAAGGGUGAGAGUGUCUGUUCCAUGGAGCCUGCGCUCACCCACUAACUAGGUGUACAUUGUAUCAGGAGGUGAAUGUAGACAAUGAACCAGGGCAGGUUAGGAAGGAAAACGGAUUAAGUAGAGGUGACUCACUAAAAAUUGUUAAGAUAAGACUGGCCUUCCCAUUGGCUGCUCCUUCUCUAAGUAUCAGGUGUCCUGUGCUCUUCUCUACUCUACAGCCUCCUCCACAAUCCCACAACAGAAACUCCGUUUCUACCAAACAGGCAAGCAAACAGAUACAAGCAGUAUCUAUGCCUUGAGCAAAGACCACGAGCCUUUUAUACCGUCCUGUGGGUCUAGUUGAGUAUUCCUCUUCCAGAGGUACUUGCAUUUAAAAUUUUAUCACAAGUUAUGCAGUGAAAUGCCUCUAUUAAGUAAAUAACACGUGUAGGCAGUCUAUUUCACCUCUCAAAGCAUAUCAGCUGCUGGUCUGCUAUUCUGCAGGGCAGGCCCUGGUUCUGAAGGAGGUUCUGGGAGGACGGAGUGAGAGGGAGGCUAGGGUGGACUAUUGGGGAGCCGAGAGUCAGAUAGCCUGGAGAGCUGUGCCAGGUGCUCAGAACAACACAUUUGUCAUGGUUAAUGUUAGGUGUCAACUUGACUGGAUUAAGGGGAUGCCCAGAUAGCUGGUAAAGCAUGACUUUUGGUGUGUCUGUGAAUGUGAUUGCAGUAGAGAUUGGCAUUUGAAUCAGUGGACCAAGUAAGGAAGAUCUGUCCCCACCCAUUGUGAGUGGGCAUCAUCCAAUCAGCUGAGGGUCCGGAUAAAACAAAAUGGUGGAGGCAGAAGGCAAAUCUUUACUGUCUCUCUCUUGUGAAGCUGGGACACCCUUCUUCUCCUAUCUUUGGACAUCAGAACUCCAGUUCUCUAGCCUCUGGAUUCCAGAAUUGCGUUAGCAGCCAUUUGUAUCCUCAGGCCUUCAACCUGAGAGUAACACCAUUGACUUCCCUGGUUCUGAGGCCUUGGACUUGAACUCAACCAUGCUACAGGACUCCCUGGUUCUUCAGCAUGCAGACGGCCUAUGGUAGGAAUUCUCAGCCUCUAUAAUCAUAAAAGCCAGUCCCCUGAUAAAUCUUCUAUUUAUUAUCUAUCUAUCUGUCUGUCUAUCUAUCUAUCUAUCUAUCUAUCUAUCUAUCUAUCUAUCUAUCUACCUACCUACCUAUCUGAUCUAUCUGUCUGUCUAUCUAAUCUAUGUAUCCUAUUGGCACCCUACUCUCUCUGGCCUCUUGGAUUGUAAGUCACAUGUCUUAAGAACUGAAAUUCUUGGUGGAGUAGAUUUUCUGCAUUGGAUAAGAAAAUGAGGUUAGUAAAGCCCCUUAAUGAGAUUUAUCAGAUGCGGUUAGAGCGAGAGUGGUUAGAAACCAUACCACUGAAAGCUGCCCAGCUAGCUGAGUCUAUCCUGCAGAAUCAGGGUGGGCUCAGUGCCAAGGAAGGCAGAGGGAAAGAAGUAACAGAGACUAAGUGAUAAGGUUAUAUAAAUAAAAAUAGAAGGGAAAACAUUGCCUUAUCCAAAAAGAACACACUUACAUUUUGAUUUUAUGUAAUAUACCUCCUGAUCCACAAAGAGAAUUCCCUAACCUCCCAAUGCUAUGUGAUACCAGGCAAGACUAACCCCUGAGCCCUGGUCAGAACAGCACUCAGAAAAACAUCUGCAUGGAUUUGCUGGCUUUCCUUAACGGAGGGCCAGCUCAACCCCUUCAGGGCCUUGUGAAGCUAAAUUGCUAUCAGGCUGUGCAGGGAAAUGAAAGAAGGUUCUUCCUCUAUUACAAAUGGGCUCUGCUCUUCCAGACUAGGGCUGCAGAGUAUUGGCUGAGGAUAACAGCAGUUCAGGUUAGGAGUGAGGACUUGGGUACAGAAGAUCUUAAACUGGACUCUGCCCUAGAGAGAGAAUCCAUGAAGCACCAAGGACUUGUCCCACUCUUGGAUGCCCCCACAGGAAAAUGGCCCGAGCAGUUCUUUUUGCAGACAGUGGAUACGCGGAGAGGAGAGUCAGUGAGGUCAACCCUGUUGUCUUGGUCACAGUUGGGCCAAGAAACAAAUUUCGCUCAACAGGGACAACAGGGAAGUAAUGAUAUAGACCAAUCAAAUUAUCUCUUGGGAAGUGAGAAUGUGUGAUGUGCCUGAAGAGGAGGGCCCAUCAGGCUUAGACUCUGCUGGAAAAAGGACAUCAAUGGGUCUUUUUUCCAGCUCCUCGUGCAGUGUACGGCUUGUCUCCAGCAUGGGAAGACUGAAUCCUAGUGUGCUGUCCAGAUGCUCUGAGGCUUUCUCAGCUGCUCCAGUUCCCCGUGUAGUUGGACAAUGACCCUCGGCCCCAGAGCUAAUCUGGGCAUGAAGUGUUCCUGUGAUUCCAAGUCCACUAGUAGGAUUUUAAAACAUUUUCCACUGUAAGAUGAUGAUUAGCUACUGUCGCUUCUCAUGAUCACCCUCCCUCCUCCGUGCAUAUAUCCCUAGCUUCUGAAUGAUCUAUAAAGCUUCUAAAAUGCCAUCUUAGCUUAAACAUCUUAAACCUUUUCUGAAAUCUAAUGACUCUAAGGGACUAGAGCAGAGUCUCUGCAGAACAUUUGAGGUCAUCCUCUCCCAUCAGUGGCAUUUUUCAGAGGACCUGCACCUUCCUGACAUGGACCCCCAAAGCUGUAGGUACCUGGCCCUGAGUGAGAGGUGGAGCAAGUUUCUCCCUGAGCCUUACAUCACUCACCCCCACCCCACCAUGGCAGUGAGCAGGAGGGUGUGACAAUCUGAGGGCCUAGGUGGUUAUCAUCUUGACCUAAGUUUCCCUUGAUAUGACUUAGCUACACGGGCUUUGGAAAAAAACAAAAACAAAAACAAGGCAACCUGGUGAGAAAGCCUGAGACGGGAUUAUUUCUCGGCCUUUUGGAUAAGUCAGGUGGAGAAAGCCUGUGAUGGGAACUGGAACAAGUGACCCUGGGGACUUGUCUGGUGAGGUCUGUCGCUGUGUGCGGGUGGACCCUGGAGCUCUGCUCCCUGCCUGCUUAAUCCUACUUCCAUCACUGAGGAAAACAAACAUUUUGGCCAUAUUUACACAGCAUUUGAAUCACAUUUUAAGUAAUAAUUCCAGGUCAUAUGACUAGAAGACUAGUAAUAGCAAAGAAACAAGCACAAACAGUAGAUUACAGGUGUGGCCAUGUGACGGGCUCCUGAAGGUCAUUUCAUCCACCCCCAAGUCUCUACCUGUCCUAAGAUUUCCAGAAAGAGGGAAGGACUGGAAGGAGGCACAUUAUUUUUAAGUGUCAAUUUUUUAAACGGAGAAUCUAAUUUUCUGGAAGCAUUAUUGGUUAGACUUUAAAGGAAGGAUUUAUGUUCCUAUGAAUUGUGUAGAAAGGAAUUUUAAUAACAGAGAGGCAGUGUGAGGCAACAUGGGCUGAGAUCGUAAUUCAGGGACGAAAAGGCUUUCCAGGAGGGAUUAGCAGGCACUGCAAACUCUCUCUGUCACAAGAAAGCACUUCUACGUGCUGGAGUUCUGCAGUGAAUACAGUUACAGGCAUUUAUUCACACAGUUAAUAAAUAACCCAUUGCUUGCCCUUGCAUCAAUAAUAACCAAGAUCUGAAUGCUAGGAAUCCAUACCUUGCUGGGUGCAAUUUGAUUAUGUGGAGCAGGGUUUCUCCACUUCAGUCUCAGCACUGGUAAUAUCUUGAGCUGGGUCAUCCAUUGUUGCGGUGGGAGCAGGGGUGUUGUCUUGUGCACUAUCCAAUGGUUAGCAGCGUCCCUGGUCACUCUCUAAUACCACUGGUACCCCUGCUCUACAGUUGUGAAAACCGAAA